GUGAAGCAUGAAAACAGAGAAGAUCAGAACUCCCCUUGAUAAGAAUUGAAAAGGUUCCUGCAAUCAGCACAAUGACAUCUAUGGCUAGGGUACUAAAGGAGGAAAAUCUAACAUUCCCCCCCUUUUAAUAUCUUGGUAAAAUUCUUU
rnacentral:ncRNA from 1 species